rnacentral:rRNA from 1 species
UAAACGAUGAGUGCUAAGUGUUGGAGGGUUCCCCUUCAGUGCUGCAGCAAACGCAUUAAGCACUCCGCUGGGGAGUACGACCGCAAGGUUGAAACUCAAAGGAAUUGACGGGGGCCCGCACAGCGGUGGAGCAUGUGGUUUAAUUCGAAGCAACGCGAAGAACCUUACCAGGUCUUGACAUCCCUUGACCACUCUAGAGAUAGAGCUUUCCCUUCGGGGACAAAGUGACAGGUGGUGCAUGGUUGUCGUCAGCUCGUGUCGUGAGAUGUUGGGUUAAGUCCCGCAACGAGCGCAACCCUUAUUGUUAGUUGCCAUCAUUUAGUUGGGCACUCUAGCGAGACUGCCGGUGACAAACCGGAGGAAGGUGGGGAUGACGUCAAAUCAUCAUGCCCCUUAUGACCUGGGCUACACACGUGCUACAAUGGGAAGUACAACGAGUCGCUAGGCCGCGAGGUCAUGCAAAUCUCUUAAAGCUUCUCUCAGUUCGGAUUGUAGGCUGCAACUCGCCUACAUGAAGCCGGAAUCGCUAGUAAUCGCGGAUCAGCACGCCGCGGUGAAUACGUUCCCGGGCCUUGUACACACCGCCCGUCACACCACGAAAGUUUGUAACACCCGAAGUCGGUGAGGUAACCUUUUGGAGCCAGCCGCCUAAGGUGGGAUAGAUGAUUGGGGUGAAGUCGUAACAAGGUAACCA